rnacentral:rRNA from 1 species
UACGUAGGGGCAAGCGUUGUCCGGAAUUACUGGGCGUAAAGCGCACGCAGGCUGAAUUAUAAGUCGGUAGUCAAAGGCGGAGGCUCAACCUCUGUAUAUCUAUCGAUACUGUAAAUCUGGAGUAUGUGAGAGGUUAUCGGAAUUCCCGGUGUAGCGGUGAAAUGCGUAGAGAUCGGGAGGAACACCAGUGGCGAAGGCAGGUCUCUGGGCAGUUACUGACGCUGAGGAGCGAAAGCAUGGGUAGCAAACAGGAUUAGA